GAUGAACGCUAGCGGCAGGCUUAACACAUGCAAGUCGAGGGGCAGCACGUCUUCGGAUGGUGGCGACCGGCGCACGGGUGCGUAACGCGUAUACAACCUACCUUAUAGAGGGGAAUAGCCCAGAGAAAUUUGGAUUAAUGCCCCAUAGUAUUAUUGAAUAGCAUUAUUUGAUGAUUAAACAUUUAUGGCUAUAAGAUGGGUAUGCGUUCUAUUAGCUAGAUGGUAAGGUAACGGCUUACCAUGGCAACGAUAGAUAGGGGUCCUGAGAGGGAGAUCCCCCACACUGGUACUGAGACACGGACCAGACUCCUACGGGAGGCAGCAGUGAGGAAUAUUGGACAAUGGGCGAGAGCCUGAUCCAGCCAUGCCGCGUGCAGGAAGACGGCCCUAUGGGUUGUAAACUGCUUUUAUACGGGAAGAAACACUCCUUCGUGAAGGAGCUUGACGGUACCGUAAGAAUAAGGAUCGGCUAACUCCGUGUCAGCAGCCGAC
rnacentral:rRNA from 1 species